AUCGCGCUACUGCACUCCAGCCUGGAUGACUGAGCAAGACUCUGUCUCAAAAAAAAAAAAAAAGUUCUCAGUGGUCCCAGAGUCAUUUCGUUCAGUAUUUAGGCUACUGGUGUCUGGAUCCACAUCAGAAAAGCAAGGAAAAGAAUGGAAUUUCACAGAACUAAAAGCCUUGCUGUUGGCCUCUUGGCUGGGUCUCUGCAGGACAUAAUCCCUCACAUACAGGCUUAUGGCAGGUCCAAAGUACUGCUCUCCUCUGACAGGGUGCCUGGGGUGGCUUCCUGGCAGCCAUAGUCUGCCCUGCAACAGCAAGAGCCCAGAACUUGGAAACGGAGGUGCACCAUCUUUGUAAACCAAGGAAAUUUUUAAACUGUGACCUAAUAUUACUGGGACUUGUCUCCCUACCUUAUGCCUUACAAUCCAUUCUCCCUACAGACCAAAAUAAGCUUUCUAAAAUGAAAAUGUGAUUACUUGACAUAUACUAAUUAACAAUAUUCAUGUUGCAAGGCAUAGAAAGCCUAAGUCAUGUGGUUUUAAAUAUAAUAAAAGGUAAUUUUCUGUCCCAACUGGAGAUUUAGGAGUAGAAGAGUUUCAGUUACAGCUUGAUACAUGAAUCUGUUUAUAAUCUGUCACCAAGCUCCAUCUCACAGUUCUGUCUUUUCUGUGUGUCAGUGCUAUCUUAAGAUUACUCCUGUAGUGAUAGCAACAUGGCAGCAGCAGUUUCUAAGCAUCACAUAGUUACUCCAGCAAACACAGUAAAAGAGGACACUUUCUCAGAAGCUCCAGCACAUGGAAUACUGUGUCUUAUUGACCCAUCCCUGAACUAAUCACUGUGGCCAAUGGGAUUAGGUUUGCUAAACAUCUUAAGCCAAACGUCUUAAGCCAGACGUUGCUAAACGUCUUAAUUUGAGGCCAAUUCCACACAAACUACAUUGGUUGGAAGAAGGGUCAGAAUAAAGAUAGGAGGAAAUAGGUGAGCAAACAUCUGAAGUCAGCAGUCCCCAGCCUUUUUGGCACCAGGGACCAGUUUUAUGGAAAACAAUUUUUCCACGGAUGGAGAGGGUAGUUUUGGCAUGAAACUGUUCUACCUCAGAACAUCAGGCAUUAGUUAGAAUCUUAUAAGGAGCUUGUAAUCCAGAUCCCCCGCAUGUGCAGUUCAUAAUAGGGUUCAUGAGAAUCUAAUGCCACCACUGAUCUUAAAGGAGGCAGAACUCAGGAAGUAAUGCUUGCUCACUUGCUGCUCACCUCCUGCUGUGCAGCCCAAUUCCUAACAGGUCACCAACUGGUACCAGUCUGCCACUCAGAGGUUGGGAACCCCUGUCUGAAGUGAUUUAAAAUGCUUCAUUAAUCUCUAUUGCUCUUGAUAUAAAGGCUGCUCUUUCCUCAUCAGGGCCUGUACUACCCUGCGUGAUAUCGUCUCUGUCACCCCUUUGGGCUCAUCUUUCUCAGUCAUUCUUUCCUGGUGUUCAAACGUGUUUUUUUUUUUUUUUUGGACAGAGAGAGGGGGGGGGCCUCAUUCUGCCACUCAGGCUACAGUGCAGUGGUGCAAUUAUAGCUCAUUGCAGUCUUGACUUCCUGAGUUCAAGCAAUCUUCCCACUUCAGCCUGCCAAAGUAUUAGGAUUACAGGCAUAAGCCACCAUGCCCGGCCCUCAAGCAUGCUUAAUUUAGGUGCUGUGAUGGUUAAUGUUUUGUGUCAACUUGGCUAGGCCACAGUGUGUAACUGUACGAUAAAAUGUUAUUCUGGAUGUUUCCAGGGGGAUGUUUUUAGAUGAGAUUAAUAUUUAAAUCAGUAGAUUUUGAGUCAGGCAGUUUGCCCUUCGUAAUUUAGAUGGGCCUUACCCAGUGAAUUGAAGCUCUAAAUAGAACAAAAGGCUGACUUCCCCUGAGUUAAAAAGAAUCUAUCAGCAGAUGGCCUUCAGACUUGAACUGCAAUGUUGGCUCUUCUUGAGUCUCCAGCCUGACAGCCCACUCUGCAGAUUUCAGACUUGCUUGUCUUCAUAAUCAGAAUGUAGAAACAAGGCCUGGAGGUGAAGCAGUCAUCUUGAAUUCAUGCCACAACUAGCAUGAGGGUGAAUGUCUAUAUAGUAAGGAUGGCAGAGCAGAAAGAUGAAAAGAGACUGGAACCCUGGAAGCAAUUUGAAGCCACUGUACCUAUCCCCACAUUUGUAAUGGAUGAGACAAAUAAACCCCUAUUUGUUUAAGCCACUGUA